rnacentral:tRNA from 1 species
GCGGGGUGGAGCAGCACGGUAGCUCGUCGGGCUCAUAACCCGAAGGUCGCAGGUUCAAAUCCUGUCCCCGC